GACAGAGGCCCCGAGCGUUGCUCGGAAUCACUGGGCGUAAAGGGUGCGUAGGCGGGUCUUUAAGUCAGGGGUGAAAUCCUGGAGCUCAACUCCAGAACUGCCUUUGAUACUGAAGAUCUUGAGUUCGGGAGAGGUGAGUGGAACUGCGAGUGUAGAGGUGAAAUUCGUAGAUAUUCGCAAGAACACCAGUGGCGAAGGCGGCUCACUGGCCCGGUACUGACGCUGAGGUGCGAAAGCGUGGGGAGCAAACAGG
rnacentral:rRNA from 1 species